GAUGAACGCUGGCGGUAUGCUUAACACAUGCAAGUCGAACGGACUCUUCGGAGUUAGUGGCGGACGGGUGCGUAACGCGUGAGAAUCUGGCUUUGGGUUCGGGACAACCACUGGAAACGGUGGCUAAUACCGGAUGUGCCGAGAGGUAAAAGAGAAAUUGCCUGAAGAUGAGCUCGCGUCUGAUUAGCUAGUUGGUGAGGUAAAGGCUCACCAAGGCAGCGAUCAGUAGCUGGUCUGAGAGGAUGACCAGCCACACUGGGACUGAGACACGGCCCAGACUCCUACGGGAGGCAGCAGUGGGGAAUUUUCCGCAAUGGGCGAGAGCCUGACGGAGCAAUACCGCGUGAGGGAAGAAGGCUCUUGGGUUGUAAACCUCUUUUCUUAGGGAAGAACAAAAUGACGGUACCUAAGGAAUCAGCAUCGGCUAACUCCGUG
rnacentral:rRNA from 1 species